GAUCGAGGCAGUAGUAAGAGGCAAAACAGAGUAGUGUGGAGGGGGUCUGCGUACAUGUGCAAGCACACACACACACACACACACAAAUUAAUAAGAGAAUAAUUAAAAACAACACAUGAAUAAUAAUAAUUGCAAGAUGGCAAGAUUAAAAGCUUAUAUAGAAAUCCAUGAGUACAAAGUGCCUUCCGAGAGUGGGAUUCGUCAGGAAAAGCCCUCUGAAGUAGUGGGAUUUGAGCAGAGCUUGUUAAAUGCAAUAUUUUAUGUUGCCUUUCGUUCAACAAACAUUUGUGAAGUGCCCCUGUGGGUUGGGUUCCGGGUUCGCAAAAGGCUGGGAUGUCAAGAUGAACAGGACAAGGUCAGAUUCCCAAGUCUUGCUGUUCAUUUUGCCAUCAGCCCAGGCUAUGUUCUUAAUUAUAUCACAGAAUUUUUAGUUCAGUAUUUCCAGAUCUAGGGACUGAUGUUGAUUUUCUCUGGUCACUACAAAAGCAAGAAAAAUUAGAAGAACAGUGGAGGCUGUUAUCCAAAGUGGAUCACCACAGCUGAUGUGGAAAAGAAAACCCAAAAAUUCUGUGCUAAAAGGAGCCUAACUGAGGUCUCAGGCACACGUGCACUGUUAAAACUUAUCUAGCAGUUUGGCCUAUUCUGUCAAAAAGUAUCCAGGCCAAUUAUUUGCUAUUUUGCUUACAAGCCUUGCUUUAUUGAACUUUUUAAUUAGUGGAGUGGUUGUUAUACAGAUGCAGAUUUUAAAGGUUUCCUCCAAAUUUUCACUGAUGUUUUCAAUCUCUAGUACUUACAACAUUAUAUUAAACAAUUUUUAAGAUUUUUAAUUUUUUUCAUGGAGGAAGGGCUUGUUUUUUAGCUUUUCGAAUUGUCACAUUUUAAAAACAAAAAUUGCCUAUGACACACAAGUCCUCCUUUUUCUUCUAGCUGCUGUACCCAC
rnacentral:lncRNA from 1 species